rnacentral:rRNA from 1 species
AUACGGAGGAUCCAAGCGUUAUCCGGAAUCAUUGGGUUUAAAGGGUCCGUAGGCGGGUUUAUAAGUCAGUGGUGAAAGUUUGCGGCUCAACCGUAAAAUUGCCAUUGAUACUGUAGAUCUUGAAUUAGUGUGAAGUGAUUAGAAUAAGUAGUGUAGCGGUGAAAUGCAAAGAUAUUACUUAGAAUACCAAUUGCGAAGGCAGGUCACUAACACUAUAUUGACGCUGAGGGACGAAAGCGUGGGGAGCGAACAGGAUUAGAAACCCUAGUAGUCC